rnacentral:rRNA from 1 species
UACGAAGGGGGCUAGCGUUGCUCGGAAUCACUGGGCGUAAAGCGCACGUAGGCGGCUUUUUAAGUCAGGGGUGAAAUCCUGGAGCUCAACUCCAGAACUGCCUUUGAUACUGAGAAGCUCGAGUCCGGGAGAGGUGAGUGGAACUGCGAGUGUAGAGGUGAAAUUCGUAGAUAUUCGCAAGAACACCAGUGGCGAAGGCGGCUCACUGGUCCGGUACUGACGCUGAUGUGCGAAAGCGUGGGGAGCAAACAGG